AUCGUGUCUGCUGUUGUGUAGGCUAAACCAAAACAUGCGAAAAAGAGAAAAAAAACAAAAAAGAAAGGAAAAUAAGCACACAGAAAAAAAGUAGAAUAUAAGACACAGAUAUAUAAGAGAUUCAGCAAUGCACUGUAGCAACAAAAUAUGAUUGCAUCAAUAACACUACAUGGCAAGGAUGGAGAGGGAAUGAUUGAUCAGGUUGCCUCCCAAUCAAGUCUUCUUUUGAGGCCAGCAAGAGAAUUAGUAUUUAGGACUAAAGACCUCAAGAUAGAAGACUAAAUGGUCAUUGUAAUCCAUUGCCAGUACCAAAAAACUCAAAGCCUAGAAAGAACCUCUCUCAUCCAAACGUGAGAUGAAUUCAAUGCCUUCAAGAAUGAGUAUAAAAUAAUAACUAGAAAAGAUUCAAGACCCAGUAGACACAUGUUGAGUUUCAACUGCACAUCUUUCAGGUUCAUCCUGCUGCUUUCCCAAUCAAAACAGGAGUAGUGGGACAUAAGCAUCCAACAUUAGACAAGAACUUUCUUCCGGGUCCAACCAGGAAUUAAGCAAAAAAGUGAAUGGAUAAAUGGCAAGCUUAGCUGAAAUUAUCAACUCAGGUUCAAAUUCAACAGAACUACAUCUAAACCAAGUAUUAAAGUAAAUCCCUCUAUUCAUCUAUCACAUUCUAAAUCAUUCAAUAAAAACAAUGCUACUAAAACAAUAAGAUGAUUUUUUCCAACAUCCUCUUCCAGUCUUGAAUCACAGUAGAAGACAACCUUGUAUAGACCAAUAUUUGCUUCUUCUUCUUCUUCUUC
rnacentral:misc_RNA from 1 species